GGAACGUGGCUGUUUGUUAGCGUGGAGCAGAGCGAUGUCGUUCCGCAGGCCCGCUCAAAGGCAGCAUCAGGUUCACCUAUUCUCGGGCGCUCCAGGGCAUGACCCAGCAGUGGCCUGCAUGCUGCAGGGACAGCUCACGACAAAAAGAGAGCGUGGUCUUGAUCGUUUCUGGCCGUCUGGCGCUGGCUCUGCUGUUCCUCCAGCGAUGGCUCACCACCUGCACCUCCACUGUGAAAGAGAUCACCCAGAUGAAGAGCGGCUGCUUGAUGAUCCUGUGCCUCAUCUUCUCGGCUGCUGUUGCUGGUGCCUACUUUGGGACCUUUCUGCCCAUACGGAUGCUGCGGGCACAGGAGGCAUCACAGGUCCUGCUGGACAAGCCCGUGAAUGAGCUGAUGUCUGUGUGGAACUCUCUCAGUGUGCUGGGGGAACAAGCGGAGGGGGUGCAACAGCUGAGGAAGGAAGUGAAGAGCCUGGUUGCAGAGAUGAGACAUGUGAAGAAGGAACUUCAGGACAUGAGAAUGGCAAUGUCUGCAAUGCCUUUGGAAGAGAACGUCCAGAUGUCUGCCUGGACUCUGAAAAGCGAAGGGGCCAUCAUCGACCUGCAGAGAUCACCCAGGAGCUAUGCAUGGCCCUGCAGUGUGUUCUGGUUCCUUUGUGAUUUGAACCAUCCGGAUACUUUCGUGCAGCUGGAUAUCUCCCCGGGAUAUUGCUGGCUUCUCCAAGCAUCUCAGAGCCAGGUGGUCAUUCGGUUGCCCGCACAAGUCCAGCCAACAGCGAUCACUGUGCAGCACCCCUUGAAGAGGUCCUCUGGGCUUGGGGACAUCAGCAGCGCCCUGCGAGAUUUCACCGUCUCUCACUGCUGUGCCUCGAGGGGACGUUUCAGAGGAUGUGCAGGGUGGCGUCAUCCCGUUUUAAGGCUUGCGUUUUAGCUCGAGAGCUCAUCUCCACCACAUCUUGGGCCAGCCUACACUGGAGCCAUGGAAUGGAUGAAGAAGGAAAAGAGGAAACUCUGCUCGGGACUUUCACCUAUGACAUAGCAAAAGAGCCGACCCAGACCUUCCCUCUGCAGAAUGAGCUUCCCAGAGCCUUUCAGUUUAUGAGACUUGGCAUACGCAGCAAUUGGGGCAAGUCGGGCAACACCUGCAUUUAUCGAGUGCAGGUUCAUGGGAAGGUAACGGGAACGAACGCCGUCGGCCAGGCACGAGGAGACCUCCUGCUCCAGAAAUAAAAAAGAGAAAAGCCUCCGAGCCGAGGAACGUGGCUGUUUGUUAGCGUGGAGCAGAGCGAUGUCGUUCCGCAGGCCCGCUCAAAGGCAGCAUCAGGUCGAGACAUAGCGCGAAACCUGGGCAGGCCUAUUAGGAACUUAAAAACAUUUCUUGUAAAGGCUCAGGCGAGAUGCAGCAGUGAAACAGCAAUUUAUCAAACGUUUUUGCAAAAACGGGUGUCCUAACCGC